rnacentral:lncRNA from 1 species
GUUUCUAUGGGCAUUGAUUUUGGAUGAUUUGGAGUUGAUAUGACUUUAUAAGAGCUUUGUAAAGUCAAGGUUUGUUUCAGAUGACUUGGAUUUUAUGAAAUAAAAUAGGAUUUACGUUUUGGAUGAUUUCAAGAGUUUUGUAAUAGAUCUAUAGGUGAAAUUUUGUAGGUUUAUGUUUAUAGUUGUGUUUAAUAUGUUUCAUGAAUUUGAGCUCGAUCUAACUGUUGAAUUAAGGAAUAUUGAGAUUUAAGUGGGUCAAGGUCUUAGAAAGUAGAAUUUUAGGUCUAGUACGGGUUUUUAAGAUUUCUU